CGGGCGGCGUGGAUUAGGCAUGCAAGUCGAACGUGAAAGUACCGACGUAGCAAUACGAAGGUGCGAGUAAAGUGGCGAACGGGUGAGUAACGCGUGGGAAACCUGCUCCAGAGUGGGGGAUAACAGUUCUAACGGACUGCUAAUACCGCAUGAUGCUACGGGUCGAUGACUUCGUAGUUGAAGGAGGCCUCUGUUUCAAGCUUUCGCUCCGGAAUGGUCCCGCGUCCUAUUAGCUUGUUGGUGGGGUAACGGCCUACCAAGGCAACGAUGGGUAGCCGGCCUGAGAGGGUGGUCGGCCACACUGGGACUGAGAUACGGCCCAGACUCCUACGGGAGGCAGCAGUCGAGAGGCUUCGGCAAUGGGGGAAACCCUGACCGAGCGACGCCGCGUGGGUGAUGAAGUUUCUCGGAACGUAAAACCCUGUCAGGUGGGAUGAAAUACCAUUCGGUUAACACCCGAGUGGCUUGACAGUACCACCAGAGGAAGCUCCGGCUAACUCCGUGCCAGCAGCCGCGGUAACACGGGGGGAGCAAGCGUUGUUCGGAUUCAUUGGGCGUAAAGAGCCCGUAGGUGGCUCUGUAAGUCGGAGGUGAAAGACCACGGCUCAACCGUGGAAACGCCUUCGAAACUGUGGAGCUUGAGGCUGGGAGAGGAAAUCGGAAUUCCUGGUGUAGCGGUGAAAUGCGUAGAUAUCAGGAGGAACACCGGUGGCGAAGGCGGAUUUCUGGACCAGUUCUGACACUGAGGAGCGAAAGCCAGGGGAGCAAACAGGAUUAGAUACCCUGGUAGUCC
rnacentral:rRNA from 1 species